CGCCCUUCCUACGGGAGGCAGCAGUGGGGAAUUUUGGACAAUGGGCGCAAGCCUGAUCCAGCCAUGCCGCGUGCGGGAAGAAGGCCUUCGGGUUGUAAACCGCUUUUGUCAGGGAAGAAAUCUUCUGGCUUAAUACCUCGGGAGGANGNCNNNC
rnacentral:rRNA from 1 species